rnacentral:misc_RNA from 1 species
GACGAGGCCGAUGUAGCCCGAGACGAGGGUGAUGCAGAGGGCCUCCUCCAGCACCAUGACGACGAUCGCGCGCGGGGGUGCGCCGAUCGCCUUACGCAGACCGAACUCGCGCGUGCGCUCCUGAACCGAGAUGAGCAUGAUGUUGCCGACGCCGACGACGCCCGCAAGGAUCGUCCCGAGGCCGAUGAUCCACACGAACGCACGGAUCCCUC